rnacentral:lncRNA from 1 species
UGGCGGUUUUGUUGCUGGAAAAUCGAUGAAGAUGAUGGGGAUGUUUAAUGUCGAUGAAGGUGAAUUGAUGGGCAUAAAAGAAACAUUAUCUUGGAUCAAGGGUCUAGGAUACAGUCACGGCUUGUUUGAAACAGACUGCAAGAGAGCUUGUGAUAUGAUCAGUUUGGGGUGCAGAAAUAUUCUGGAGAGUGGAGCUUUAGCGAGCUUCUGCCGCCGUGAGUUAACGUCACUUCCGGGCUUUCGACUUCAGCAUGUCAGGAGAGAAAGGAAUGCGAUCGCUCAUUCUUUAGCGAAAUCUGCGAG